CCUACGGUGGGCAGCAGUGAGGAAUAUUGGGCAAUGGAGGAGACUCUGAACCAGCAAAGCCGCGUGAAUGAUGAAGGUCUUCUGGGUGUAAAGUUUUUUUCUAAGGGAAGAAAAAAGUGACGGUACCUUAGGAAUAAGCCUCGUCUAACUACGUGCCAGCAGUCGCGGUAAUACGUAGGAGGCGAGCUUUAUCCGGAAUGAUUGGUCGUAAAGGGUGCGUAGGUGGUUUGGUAAUUUAGUAGCGUAACUCAAAGGCUCAACCUUAGAAUUACUACUAACACUGUUGGACUUGAGUGCAUGAGAGGUAACCGGAAUUCCUGGUGUAGCGGUGGAAUGCUUAGAUAUUAGGAGGAACCCCAGUUGUGAAGGCGGCUUACUAGACUUUAACUGACACUGAGGCACGAAAGUGUGGGGAUCAAACAGGAUUAGAUACCCGAGUAGUC
rnacentral:rRNA from 1 species